rnacentral:lncRNA from 1 species
GUGGCCACUCAGCCGCUCUAUAUUUUACUAUAAUAGCUCGUUGCUACAGGUUGAGUUUGAACCUCAUUUGGAUAUUUAGCCUCUCAGCGACUCGUCCAUGGUCAAUCCGUCAAUCGUUCUUUUCUAGUUUUCUUAUCUUUUUCAAAGUCCCCAAUGUCUGCGUAUUCAUACCAAUAAUCAAAUUGAGUUUAUCAAGUGCAUUUGAUUGAAUAAAAUGUUUGAAUCAUUCUGGACAGUGUGGAAAUUUAUAAACUACUGGUAUUUUCGAUACUUGAUGGUUACAGAACUUUACAUGGUGGAAACUUGGGAAAGAGUUGUUAUGAAUACGUCUAUAUUGACAUUGGGGAGUCUACUGUUCUACUGCAAUUAUUUGCUGUUCUCAUUCUUCUUUCGUCUACUGUGGAGUCCUGAUGUGUUUGCUUCCUGAUAACAUUGAAAGAUACACACAUGUAAGAUGCAAACUACAUAAUACGCUGAGCCAUGCAUGUAACAAGAAAUAAUAAUAAUCCAUCCUAUUGUAAAAAGUUUAUAUAAGGUAGUAUUUAAAAACUUGCUAUUUAUCUACCAAAAAUUAUUCGUAAUACAAUCAUGUUGUACUUUUUAUUUCACGGAGAUGAUUUAAAAAUGUAUAGUUGAAAAAAAUGUUUUAUCCAAGGCCGGCCACGUGUGUCGAACAUGUGUGAACGGAUAUGUAUUUGAAAAUACAUUUACGCGAAUGGCUUCGAACGUAAAAAAGGUUUGACAACAGCCUCUAACACAAAGUAAACCAAUAAAAAUAAAUAAGCCACUCAAAAAUAACCUCAUUAACCAAAUUUGCCCUCAAAUAGAGCAGCGAAGAAAAAAUAAACAAAAAAUCAAGAUACAUAAACAAAAACGCACCCAAAAAAUGUUGUUCAAAGCCUUUCGUUGAUGACACAACUUGUCUGUCGAACGUGUUCACACAUGUUCGACACACUUGAGUGGCCGGCCUUACUUAGGAAACUCAAAAUUAUUUUCUGUAUUUUUGAGCCAUCCAAUCUUGAGAAAUUGACUAUUUUAUCGAUAGAAUUCAUGUGCUUUCCAAUAAUUUAUACUGAUUUAUUUCACAGUAUCAUAAUAAUUGUAAAUUGAUAAAUUGGGUUGAUUAGUACAUUCAUUAUAAUUGAAAGAAACUUUUAAACGCGAUCGGUGUCAAGAGAUUUUUUCAUAAUCUGUUUCUAAAUUCAUUCAUUCUCAACAGUAAUUUGAAAAUUUCAUGUGAUACUACUUAGACUAUUGAAACUAGUUUGUAGGUUACUCAUAAUUGCUAAACUGCCAUUUCAAUAGCAUUUCUUUUGUACACUGUAAUAUUUUAAUAAUUGUUAUAGACUUCUUAGAACUGUUGAAUACUAAUUACAAUUUUUCGAAUGAGUUUAUUGGAUAUUGAGAAUUUAAAAAAAAAGUAUAUAGAAUAAUUUUUCUAAUUCUGAAUUUUAUAGAAAUGUUAUUUAGACUAGAAAUAUUAUUUGAGUGCUGUAUACAGUAGUAUUGAAAUUUCAAUGUUAUUAAUAUGGAAGUCAAUUCUAUAUAUGUACCUUAAGAAAAUAA